GACAGCAGCCGCCGCGGGAAUACGAAGGGUGUAAGCGUUAAUCGGAAUUACUGGGCGUAAAGCGUGCGUAGGCGGUGAGUUAAGUCUGCUGUGAAAUCCCCGGGCUCAACCUGGGAAUGGCAGUGGAUACUGGCUCGCUAGAGUGUGUCAGAGGAUGGUGGAAUUCCCGGUGUAGCGGUGAAAUGCGUAGAGAUCGGGAGGAACAUCAGUGGCGAAGGCGGCCAUCUGGGACAACACUGACGCUGAGGCACGAAAGCGUGGGGAGCAAACAGGAUUAGAUACCCCAGUAGUCCCUGUCUCUUAUAA
rnacentral:rRNA from 1 species